rnacentral:rRNA from 1 species
AUACGGAGGGUGCAAGCGUUAAUCGGAAUUACUGGGCGUAAAGCGCACGCAGGCGGUCUGUCAAGUCGGAUGUGAAAUCCCCGGGCUUAACCUGGGAACUGCAUUCGAAACUGGCAGGCUAGAGUCUUGUAGAGGGGGGUAGAAUUCCAGGUGUAGCGGUGAAAUGCGUAGAGAUCUGGAGGAAUACCGGUGGCGAAGGCGGCCCCCUGGACAAAGACUGACGCUCAGGUGCGAAAGCGUGGGGAGCAAACAGGAUUAGAUACCCUGGUAGUCCACGCCGUAAACGAUGUCGACUUGGAGGCUGUUCCCCUGAGGAGUGGCUUCCGGAGCUAACGCGUUAAGUCGACCGCCUGGGGAGUACGGCCGCAAGGUUAAA